rnacentral:lncRNA from 1 species
AUGGAUGAAGGUGGAGUUUUGCACAACACAGACCAAAUUGAGAUGACUUAUCAUGUAGAGAAUAGGGCAGAUGAUGAUAUGGGUGAUGAAGAUGAUGACAUGGGGGAUGAUGGAGAGGAUGAUGAGGAUGAUGAUGAUGGGGAGGACGAGGAUGAGGAUAUAGCAGAAGAUGGUGCUGGUCUUAUGUCUCUGGCGGACACUGAUGUUGAGGAUCAUGAUGAUGGUGGUCUGGGAGAUGAUUAUAAUGAUGAGAUGGUUGAUGAAGAGGAUGAUGAUUUCCAUGAAAAUCGUGUCAUAGAGGUGAGGUGGAGGGAAGCGCUUCAUGGAUUAGAUCAUUUACAAGUACUUGGGCAGCCAGGGGCUGCAAGUGGACUAAUUGAAGUUGCUGCUGAACCCUUUGAGGGGGUGAAUGUGGAUGAUCUUUUAAGCUUUCGCAGGCCUUUAGGGUUUGAACGCCGCCGUCAGACAGGUAGAACAUCCUUUGAGCGAUCUGUUACAGAAAUAAAUGGUUUUCAGCAUCCUCUCCUCUUGAGACCAUCCCAGUCUGGAGAUCUGGUUUCAAUGUGGUCAUCAGGUACAAACUCGUCUAGGGAUUUAGAAGCAUUGUCUGCCGGAAACUUUGAUGUUGCUCAUUUCUACAUGUUUGAUGCUCCG